GCGCUCGUAGCUCAGUUGGAUAGAGCAGCGGAUUUCUAAUCCGCGGGUCGCAGGUUCAAGUCCUGCCGAGCGUGCCA
rnacentral:tRNA from 1 species